rnacentral:misc_RNA from 1 species
UGACGUACCCUGGAUUGGGAAGGCGAUUCGGGUUCGCCGAUAUGACCUUUCCCGUGCUUUUUAGAACAUAGAUGGCGCCAGUCAGGUGACCAUCGAAACGUAAUACGCCGCAGAGGUGCUUGCACCCUGACGGUAUGGCGAGACCCGCCGUCCACGUUUCUCUUUCUCACAAGGAUACGAACCACGCCCGCUCACUUUGCGUCGAGCGACGUUUAGGUGGUGCGUGCUUGACCCAGAAUGGGCCCGUAGCUCAGGUGGUUAGAGCGCACGCCUGAUAAGCGUGAGGUCGGCAGUUCGAGUCUGCCCGGGCCCACCAUUUUGGUAGCUUGGCAGAUGAUCGAAAGGUUGGGGCUGUAGCUCAGCUGGGAGAGCACCUGCUUUGCAAGCAGGGGGUCAGCGGUUCGAUCCCGCUCAGCUCCACCAUUUUGUUUGGUGGACGCCGGACGACCGGCGACGGCCUUUGGCCUUCACGAAGCCUUCGGCUUCGUUCGAGUGCCAUGCUUGAGGGUAUCCUUGGAGAAAAUAAGGUUUGCAUCGUCUCUGCUGAGAUGGAUGCCUGUUCUGCUAAAAUUGUGAAGAGAAGAUAUGUCUGGAAGCUUCCAGGUGUUGGCGGCGAUUGUCGAAAGGCGGUCGGUGUCGGCGUCCGAGCCCAGUCCUUUUGAAGCCAUCGAUGGUCUAGCCGACCGGAGAUGGAAGAGGGGCUGGAGGUAGGAGGGAAGUCUUGUCGUUCAGGGCAUGGAUGUUGUUGGGGUGUCCUUCGGGAUGCCCUUCUGGUGUUCAUGGCCGAUUGGUGUUGCCUGACCGCGCAUCACCGGACAGAUCUCGAGAAGCUGGUCUUAAGAUUUGGCGCAAGCGAACCGCUCGGCGUGGUUCCAAUAAAGCGACCAAAUCGAACACGUCGAUGGCAUCUGAUUGGCUCGGUUGUAAAAGGUAACCGGGUUUUUGGACUGGCGGUGCGGCAUACGAAAGUUGCCCGCAUGGCCAGAUUUGGCACCCCUUCGAGCGCGAGCGAGAAGGAAAGGUUUGCCAAAUCCAAAUAAGGAUGAGCAUUGGCAAUGAGAACGAUCAAGUGUCAAAAGGGCAUUUGGUGGAUGCCUUGGCAUGCACAGGCGAUGAAGGACGUGAUACGCUGCGAUAAGCCGUGGCAGCUGCGAAAGAGCGAAAACUUG